UUAAACGAAAAUUUUCCUCCCGAUCAUUAUUAAGGCUUCUUUCAGUUUUGUUUUCUCCUCUGCUGGCUUUUUCACUAUCUCUGGGAUUGUAGGACAAGAAAACCCAUGAAUGGUGACCAUCGUUCUCUGUGACUCUCACGCUCAACAUAAAUCAAGGAAACUUGGCCCCUUGAUCCAACUCUCUGUCAGCCGUAAAGGAUGAACCCUAGCCUCUUUAAUGGUGAAUCAAUCUCUGUGAAUAUUGGAAUUGGAAAGUAAGACAAGAGAAAGAGAAUUGGUUGAUCAUUUUUCUCUCUCUCUAGGCAUCCUCCAAAGGUCUCAGGGUUAAAAAAUUAGGAUGAAUCUGAUCAUGGACAGAAGGUUAACAGUUGAUAUGGAGAUGGGGAGUAAUUUGGGUAAUAAUGAGAUAGAUACACCUAAGCAAAUGGGAACUCCUCUAAUUGAUGAUUAUAGAAUCGAUGAUUUUGGCUGCGACAAUGAAUUUGAUGAUACUAUUCUUGUAUAUGGUGAUAAGACUAGUGAGUUUGAUGUAGGCCAAGAUGCAUAUGAGCCUAUCAUCCUGGAGCCUCUAUCUUCUAAACUUUCUAAAGAUGUCUCACAAGAGGGUAUGCGGUUUGAGUCCCCUAAGCCGCAUUGGAUUUCUAUAACGAGUAUGCAAAAAAUUUGGGUUUCAUAGUUCGAUGUGCUUCAAGUCAUUGAUCAAGAAAAAAUCAAUCACUUAUCAUUCGUGAAUAUGUUUGCUCAAAAGAAGGUCAAUGACACAAUAAAUAUGAGGGGAAUCGAUCUAGGUCACCUACAAGGAUGAGGUGCAAAGCUAAGCUAAGAAUAAAUAAGGAUGAGUGCAGUAUAUGGUUUACGAAGUAUAAUAAAGAACAUUCUCACUUAUUGGCUUCACCAUAAGUUCAUCUCCUUUGUUCACAUCACAGAAUUCUCAAGCCCACAAGAGAAUUGAUCCAUAUAUAUAGCUUAUGUGGGUUAAGUGCCCAAAAGAUCAUGAAGGUGGUGAGUGCACAGGCUGGAGGUCAAAUGAGUCUUUCUUUCAUAGUGCAAGAUUGCAAGAAUGAAAUAUACAGAAAUCGAAAAAAUUCACAUUUGGUAGGCGGGGAUGUAGAGGGUUUGAUAGAGUUCUUUGCUGCUAAGAUUGAUGCAAACCUCCAUUUACAUACAUGGUACAAGUUGAUCAAGAUGGGCACCUAACAAAUGUAAUGUAAAAUCCAAAAUAGCGUGUGAUUUCUUUGGGAUGUCAUUAUAUUUGACACAACAUACAAGAACAAUGCCUAUAAAUUUCCAUGUGUCCCGAGUUUAGGAGUAAACCUUCAUAUGAGGACUAUCGUCAUAGGGUGAGCUUUGAUCCAGAGAGAGGAUGAGGACUAUUUUAUAUGGUUGUUUAUAAAGUGGGUUGAGGUGAUGACUACACGUCAACCCAAUAAAAUCAUAACUGAUCGACCCAAUACAAUCAUAACUGAUCGAUAUGAGGCAAUGGCCCUUGCUAUAAAGAAGGUCUUUCAUACUCUCGACAUCACUUGUGCAGAUGACAUAUUUUACAAAUAUUUUGAGCAGAAAAUAGGGCAUAGACAUCCAUCAUUCUGUUGGGACAUCUACAAUUGCAUCGGCCAUUGUACCACAAAUAUCGAAUUUGAAGCUGGAUGGUCAGGAAUGAUCGAAAGAUAUGAUGUAAAGAAUCAGGAAUGGCUUCAGCCCUUAUAUCAGAUCCAAGGUCAGUAGGUGGAUGUAUAUUUGCAAGAUUGUUUCUUUGCUGGAAAUUGGAUUAGUGGGAGAAGUGAAGUCAUGAACGAGGACAUGGCACACGUGAAUUCCCGUACCAACUUAACAAUUAAAAAAUAAUUAACAAAAUGGUUGAUGACGAAAAUACUCUAGACUUUGAAUCUCGCAGAAAAAUACUAGUUAUGAAGACUGCUAGUCGAAUAGAGAUGCAAAUGGCUCGAAUUUAUACCGUAUCUGUCAAUACUUUUUUCAGCCAGAGUUGGUGAAAGCCAUUGUUUUUAUUUGUGAAGUACAAGAGGGUGAUGGGUUUUGUGCAUUUUCAAUUUGCACAAAUAUGGGAUUCAGUAACUUGGCGCACAUAGUCCUACAGCCAUCUGUCAUUGGGUAGUAAUGGCAAUUUGUGCUUACCUAGUUGGUUGCACACUUCUCAUUUUUUUGGCUCCCCAAUUUGUCAUCCUUCAUUGUUAACCGUGUACAAUACCUGACCAGACCCAUUCACAGCCCUACAUAAGGUUUUAUGUAUGGAGAUCUUUUUCUCCAAUACUGGGAGCAUUUUGUUCAGGAUUGCAAGUGACCCUAAAUGGCGGAUAACUAACAGUCGAGGUGAAGUGGGUGAGGAGCAGUAGAGGUCUAUAGCUAUAGGGAGCACAAGAACCCUCAAGGGAGCAUGAGUAACAUCCAAGGCAAUGUCCCGAAGGAGUAGGAUUGAUUGGCUUAAUUUUUCAUGCCAUUACAUUUUUUAUUUCCCGGGGGAUGGCAUUGUAGGAGAAAUUUUGGUACCUUUUCAAACCCUUGUCUGUAUUGUCCACUUUUGAGCUACCUACUAUUUUUUGUCGUUUUGGUGAUCCACUUUUAAGCUACCCACCAUUUUUUGUCAUUUGGGUUUUUGGAUAGAGCACCUAGUUUGUGGGAUGCCUAAUCUUUUGUACUUAUAUAUUGACCAAGCUCAAACUACAAAAGAAAUUUUUUUGAAUUUCAUAACA